rnacentral:rRNA from 1 species
GUGCGAAUGCUGACAUGAGUAACGACAAAGGGGGUGAAAAACCUCCUCGCCGGAAGACCAAGGGUUCCUGUCCAACGUUAAUCGGGGCAGGGUGAGUCGACCCCUAAGGUGAGGCCGAAAGGCGUAAUCGAUGGGAAACGGGUUAAUAUUCCCGUACUUCUGACUAUUGCGAUGGGGGGACGGAGAAGGCUAGGUGGGCCAGGCGACGGUUGUCCUGGUUCAAGUGCGUAGGCUUGAGAGUUAGGUAAAUCCGGCUCUCUCUAAGGCUGAGACACGACGUCGAGCUACUACGGUAGUGAAGUCAUUGAUGCCAUGCUUCCAGGAAAAGCCUCUAAGCUUCAGAUAGUCAGGAAUCGUACCCCAAACCGACACAGGUGGUCGGGUAGAGAAUACCAAGGCGCUUGAGAGAACUCGGGUGAAGGAACUAGGCAAAAUGGUACCGUAACUUCGGGAGAAGGUACGCUCUUGAUGGUGAAGUCCCUCGCGGAUGGAGCUGACGAGAGUCGCAGAUACCAGGUGGCUGCAACUGUUUAUUAAAAACACAGCACUGUGCAAAAUCGCAAGAUGACGUAUACGGUGUGACGCCUGCCCGGUGCCGGAAGGUUAAUUGAUGGGGUUAGCGCAAGCGAAGCUCUUGAUCGAAGCCCCGGUAAACGGCGGCCGUAACUAUAACGGUCCUAAGGUAGCGAAAUUCCUUGUCGGGUAAGUUCCGACCUGCACGAAUGGCGUAAUGAUGGCCACGCUGUCUCCACCCGAGACUCAGUGAAAUUGAAAUCGCUGUGAAGAUGCAGUGUACCCGCGGCUAGACGGAAAGACCCCGUGAACCUUUACUACAGCUUGGCACUGAACAUUGAACCUACAUGUGUAGGAUAGGUGGGAGGCUAUGAAGACGUGACGCCAGUUGCGUUGGAGCCGUCCUUGAAAUACCACCCUUGUAUGUUUGAUGUUCUAACUUAGACCCAUUAUCUGGGUUGAGGACAGUGCCUGGUGGGUAGUUUGACUGGGGCGGUCUCCUCCCAAAGAGUAACGGAGGAGCACGAAGGUGGGCUAAUCACGGUUGGACAUCGUGAGGUUAGUGCAAUGGCAUAAGCCCGCUUAACUGCGAGAAUGACGGUUCGAGCAGGUGCGAAAGCAGGUCAUAGUGAUCCGGUGGUUCUGUAUGGAAGGGCCAUCGCUCAACGGAUAAAAGGUACUCCGGGGAUAACAGGCUGAUACCGCCCAAGAGUUCAUAUCGACGGCGGUGUUUGGCACCUCGAUGUCGGCUCAUCACAUCCUGGGGCUGAAGUCGGUCCCAAGGGUAUGGCUGUUCGCCAUUUAAAGUGGUACGCGAGCUGGGUUUAGAACGUCGUGAGACAGUUCGGUCCCUAUCUGCCGUGGG